UGAGGAACAUGACCUUCGGCGGGGGAUAGCCGGCCCAACGGCCGGGUAAUACCGCGUACGACCACAUGGGGACAUCCCCGAGUGGUGAAAGCAGCAAUGCGCCGAUGGAGUGCCUCGCGGCCUAUCAGCUAGUUGGUGAGGUAACGGCUCACCAAGGCGACGACGGGUAGCCGGCCUGAGAGGGUGACCGGCCACACGUGGGACUGAGACCACGGCCCAGACCUCCGUACGGGAGGCAGC
rnacentral:rRNA from 1 species